UUAACAGGUGAGAGCAAAACAUGGAACUGGUACUAAGAAAACAUUCUUAGGUAACACCAACGUUUUUUUUAUAUAUAUAUAACCAAACCAACCGUAUGGCGCCUGCAUUCGCCAGCACAGCAGUCUCCCAGACCAGUAAGUCACAAGGCCAGUUAUAUCCAGACUGACUAAUUGCCAGUCAACGGACUGUUUGCAGUCAACAGCUACAGCCAUCACUCGGCCACGCCUUCGUUUUUGACAUUUCUCGUCUCAACGUCUUACGACCCAGACAGUCUAGUGAAGAACCACGAUGCAUCAUCAUCAUUUGCUUACGGUUGGAAUCCUCGUGAUUUCUGUCUGGCGGUCGGCUGAAUCUUUCCCUAGGGAGGCCCCUCGUGGACCACAGGGGGGAGGAGGGGGAGGAGGAGGAGGAGGAGGAGGAGGAGGUGGAGGGUUGUUUCCUUCACUACAAAACAACGGCCUGAACGUCAUCGGGAUUUCUGGUGGGCACGAUGCCCAAAGACCAAGCACGGGAGCUUUAAUCUCAGACGCGGCUAGCAACUACCGCCCUCCCAUCGUCUUCGGACCUAGACUUAGUACUACUACUACCCAGUGGUCUCAGCCGCCUCGCUAUCGGUACCAUCCCAACGGAGGUUGCCGGCAAUGGACUCCCUGGAAUC